CAACCCGACGCAGCAGGAGUGGGACGCGGCUCUCCUGCUGGCUCAGCAGGGGCUCAAGAUGCUGGAGCAGCUGGUCGGGCUGGACUCUCCCCAGCUCGUCCCGGCACUUCGGGUGUAUGG
rnacentral:SRP_RNA from 1 species